rnacentral:rRNA from 1 species
AUUGAACGCUGGCGGCAUGCUUUACACAUGCAAGUCGAACGGCAGCACGGGGGCAACCCUGGUGGCGAGUGGCGAACGGGUGAGUAAUGCAUCGGAACGUGUCUUUAAGUGGGGGAUAACGCAUCGAAAGGUGUGCUAAUACCGCAUAAUCUCUGAGGAGAAAAGCAGGGGAUCGUAAGACCUUGCGCUUUUAGAGCGGCCGGUGUCUGAUUAGCUAGUUGGUGAGGUAAAGGCUCACCAAGUCAACGAUCAGUAGCUGAUGUGAGAGCAUGAUCAGCCACACGGGCACUGAGACACGGGCCCGACUCCUACGGGAGGCAGCAGUAAGGAAUAUUGGUCAAUGGACGCAAGUCUGAACCAGCCAUGCCGCGUGAAGGAUGAAAGUCCUCUGGAUUGUAAACUUCUUUUAUUUGGGACGAAAAUGGGUCUUUUCUAGAUCAACUGACGGUACCAGAGGAAUAAGCACCGGCUAACUCCGUGCCCGCAGCCGCGGUAAUACGGAGGGUGCAAGCGUUAUCCGGAUUCACUGGGUUUAAAGGGUGCGUAGGCGGGAAUGUAAGUCAGUGGUGAAAUCCUGAAGCUUAAGUUCAGAACUGCCAUUGAUACUAUCUGUCUUGAAUAUUGUGGAGGUAAGCGGAAUAUGUCAUGUAGCGGUGAAAUGCUUAGAUAUGACAUAGAACACCAAUUGCGAAGGCAGCUUACUACGCAAAUAUUGACGCUGAGGCACGAAAGCGUGGGGAUCAAACAGGAUUAGAUACCCUGGUAGUCCACGCCCUAAACGAUGGAUACUCGACAUACGCGAUACACUGUGUGUGUCUGAGCGAAAGCAUUAAGUAUCCCACCUGGGAAGUACGUUCGCAAGAAUGAAACUCAAAGGAAUUGGCGGGGGUCCGCACAAGCGGAGGAGUAUGUGGUUUAAUUCGAUGAUACGCGAGGAACCUUACCUGGGCUAGAAUGCUGGGAGACCGUGAGUGAAAGCUCACUUUGUAGCAAUACACUGCCAGUAAGGUGCUGCAUGGCUGUCGUCAGCUCGUGCCGUGAGGUGUUGGGUUAAGUCCCGCAACGAGCGCAACCC